UGAUAGCCAAUGUUUGGCCACUGCAGGACACGUUUUUCAAGACUUUGGAGACCCAAAUCAUCAAAACUUUGUUAUUAUGGCUGGGUUUGUUGAUUCGAGUAUUUUCAAUAUCAGAUAUACUCCAUUUUAUUGGGUUUUGUGACUUGCUCAGAUCUAAGUUCUCAGACCAUGUACAAAAUCCAAGUAUACAAAUAUGUGUGCACGCAUAUGCUCAAAGGCUGAACCAGUCACCAGCUUUCGUCUUCAGUGCAUAUGUCUAUCCGUGGUAAAGCUUAUACGUGUUUGUAUUCAAGUCCACACUGUCGAUGAAUAUUUAUGCAGAGGCAUUUAGUUCAAAUGGCUUCAAUGAGUGUCACACAGGCCACACACAACCGCCUAAUGCCUAUAAUUAAUGCAGCACGAAAUGUCUAAAUGUUGUACAUGGACUGGCACAGAUACGGCCGCCAUGAUGAAGAAGAAUAUUUAUUUUAUUUCAUUUUGCCAAUUUCAACGAACCCUUUGUAAUCGGCAAGAAUAAUUAUAACAUAAUAUACUAUUUUAUAUGUACCACACACACCUACACUAUUACCGGUGUUUAAAUAUGUCAUAUGUAAGCAUAUUAAUGCAUUAUAUAAUUUUUAUUUGCAUUCCAAAUUUGUAAUUUAUUAUAAUGUGUUUAAAUUUCAAAAAUUGAAGACAUUAACUAGGAUGAUAGUCAAAUAAUGUCACUUUUUUACAUGUUCUAAACUAAUGAUCUGCAAAUUUUCCAAUACAGUUUAGUUUAGUGAUUUUAACCUUAAAGCGAGUUAUAAAAAUGUUUACGUUUUUAUAUUGUAUAACUAGCUUUGAAAUUAAAAUAUUGAAAAAAUCACGAGAGUUUAAACACUGAUGUAUACCGUAAUUCAAAACACUAAAAUAUUGUAUUAGAAAUACAGAAUGUAUUUAUUUA